GACGAACGCUGGCGGCGUGCUUAACACAUGCAAGUCGAACGAAGUGGCGAACGGGUGAGUAAUACGUGGGUAACCUGCCCUCCUUUUUGGGAUAAGCCUUGGAAACGGGGUCUAAUACCGAAUAAAGGGGGAUGGGCUCGCGGCCUAUCAGCUUGUUGGGGGGGUGAUGGCCUACCACGGCGGUGACGGGUAGCCGGCCGGAGAGGGUGACCGGACACAUUGGGACUGAGAUACGGCCCAGAGUCCUACGGGAGGCAGCAGGGGGGGAUAUUGCACAAUGGGCGAAAGCCUGAGGCAGGGACGCCGCGUGGGGGAUGAAGGCGUACGGGUUGUAAACCUCUGUGGCUAUCGAGCGGGUAGGUGGAGAAGAAGCGCCGGCUAACUACGUGCCAGCAGCCGCGGUAAUUC
rnacentral:rRNA from 1 species